rnacentral:rRNA from 1 species
AGCAGUCGCCGCGGUAAUACAGAGGGUGCAAGCGUUAAUCGGAAUUACUGGGCGUAAAGCGCGCGUAGGUGGUUUGUUAAGUUGGAUGUGAAAGCCCCGGGCUCAACCUGGGAACUGCAUCCAAAACUGGCAAGCUAGAGUACGGUAGAGGGUGGUGGAAUUUCCUGUGUAGCGGUGAAAUGCGUAGAUAUAGGAAGGAACACCAGUGGCGAAGGCGACCACCUGGACUGAUACUGACACUGAGGUGCGAAAGCGUGGGGAGCAAACAGGAUUAGAUACCCCCGUAGUCCCUGUCUCUUAUAA